rnacentral:rRNA from 1 species
GACGAACGCUGGCGGCGUGCUUAACACAUGCAAGUCGAACGGAAAGGCCCUGCUUUCGUGGGGUUCUCGAGUGGCGAACGGGUGUGUAACACGUGAGUACCCUGCUCUUGAUUUUGGUAUACCUUCAGGAAACUGGGGCUAAUACCGGAUAGGAGCUCCUGCUGCAUGGUGGGGGUUGGAUAGUUUCGGCGGUUGGGGAUGGACUCGCGGCUUAUCUGCUUGUUGGUGGGGUAGUGGCUUACCAAGGGUUUGACGGGUAGCCGGCCUGGGAGGGUGACCGGCAAAAUGGGGACUGAGAUAGGGCCCAGACUCCAACGGGAGGCAGCAGUGGGGAAUAUGGCACAAUGGGGGGAAGCCGGAGGCAGCAACGCCGGGUGCGGGAUGACGGCCUGCGGGUUGUAAACCGCUUUCGCCUGUGACGAAGCGUGAGUGACGGUAAUGAGAAAAGAAGCACCGGCUAACUACGUG